rnacentral:rRNA from 1 species
UACGUAGGGGCCAAGCGUUGUCCGGAUUUAUUGGGCGUAAAGGGCGCGUAGGCGGCUCGGCACGUCCGUUGUGAAAUCGCUCGGCUCAACUGGGCGAGGUCAGCGGAUACGGUCGAGCUUGAGCCAGCUAGGGGGCAAUGGAAUUCCCGGUGUAGUGGUGGAAUGCGUAGAUAUCGGGAGGAAGACCAGUGGCGAAGGCGAAUCUCUGGACAGUUACUGACACUGAGGCACGAAGGCCAGGGGAGCAAACGGG